UGCUGGAGGGGACAGUGGCGCACGGGUGAGUAACGCGUAGGCAACCUGCCCUUUAGUGGGGAAUAACUUCGGGAAACCGAAACUAAUACCGCAUAAUAUCCUGGAACCGCAUGGCUCCGGGAUCAAAGCCUUCGGGCGCUAAUGGAUGGGCCUGCGUUGGAUUAGGUAGUUGGUGAGGUAACAGCUCACCAAGCCGACGAUCCGUAGCUGGUCUGAGAGGAUGAUCAGCCACACUGGCACUGAGACACGGGCCAGACUCCUACGGGAGGCAGCAGUGAGGAAUAUUGCGCAAUGGGCGAAAGCCUGACGCAGCCACGCCGCGUGAAGGAUGACACCCCUAUGGGGCGUAAACUUCUUUUAUGAGAGAAGAAAACCUGACUCGGUCAGGCCUGACGGUAUCUCAUGAAUAAGCACCGGCUAACUCCGUGCCAGCAGCCGCGGUAAUACGGAGGGUGCAAGCGUUGUCCGGAAUCACUGGGUGUAAAGGGUGUGUAGGCAGGGCUGUAAGUCAGAGGUGAAAUCCUGCGGCUCAACCGUAGAACUGCCUUUGAUAC
rnacentral:rRNA from 1 species